rnacentral:rRNA from 1 species
AUACGUAGGGAGUGAGCGUUGUCCGGAAUUACUGGGCGUAAAGGGCGCGUAGGCGGCGCUUCAAGUCGUCUGUCAAAUGGGAGGGCUUAACCCUUUUUCGCAGACGAAACUGGAGAGCUUGAGAAGCAGAGAGGCAAACAGAAUUCCUGGUGUAGCGGUGAAAUGCGUAGAUAUCAGGAAGAAUACCAGUGGCGAAGGCGGUUUGCUGGCUGCAUACUGACGCUGAAGCGCGAAAGCCAGGGGAGCAAACGGGAUUAGAUACCCCGGUAGUCCUGGCAGUAAACGAUGUAUGCUGGGUGUGGGAGUAGCGAUACCUCCGUGCCGAAGUUAACGCGAUAAGCAUACCGCCUGGGGAGUACGGUCGCAAGAUUGAAACUCAAAGGAAUUGACGGGG